GUCGAGAAUUUUUCACAAUGGGCGAAAGCCUGAUGGAGCGACGCCGCGUGGGGGAUGAAUGGCUUCGGCCCGUAAACCCCUGUCAUUUGCGAAUAAUCUCUGGGAUUUAACAGAUCCUAGAUUGAAAGUAGCAGAAGAGGAAGGGACGGCUAACUCUGUGCCAGCAGCCGCGGUAAUACAGAGGUCCCAAGCGUUGUUCGGAUUUACUGGGCGUAAAGGGUGCGUAGGUGGUAGGGUAAGUUCAAGGUGAAAGCUUCGGGCUCAACCCGAAAAUUGCCUCGAAAACUAUCCUGCUAGAGGAUCAGAGGGGAGACUGGAAUUCUCGGUGUAGCAGUGAAAUGCGUAGAUAUCGAGAGGAACACCUGUGGCGAAGGCGAGUCUCUGGAUGAUUCCUGACACUGAGGCACGAAAGCUAGGGGAGCAAACGGGAUUAGAUACCCGGGUAGUCC
rnacentral:rRNA from 1 species